UAGAGUUGUAAAACUCCCAAACCCAUGUGAACAUACCUCUGUUGCCUCGGCGGCCUGCCCGGCGGCUACCCUGUAGCAGCCCCGCGGUCCGCCGAAGGACUACAAAACUCUUGUUAUUUUAUAGUAAUCUGAGCGUCUUAUUUUAAUAAGUCA
rnacentral:misc_RNA from 1 species